CAAGCGAACUUCAGAAAGUUUGUACCUUAAACCAUACGGACGUCCGUCGAGAAAAUGAAAGAGAACGUCUGUGUCGCGGCCAUGGGGUCUAUAUAUAGGGGCGGACCCCAGCCUUGACACAGGUGUUCACCGGAGUAAAUGUGUAAAUCCUCACCUCGGAUGUGUCCCUCUGCGUUUAUAUUUUUGUUUAGUGUGAAAAACGCAUUCUAUGAAGUACUAUUUGGGUGCAGGUACCGCGUGGGCAGGUUAAACGCGAUGGCGGUGCAGGUGGAUCAAGAAAGGAAGGACACGGCCCGUGGCUAUAUUUGAAUAGUGUCACUGCACUGUAGCCAGUGGUCAUUGUAUUGAUUAGUGAAUUUAUACUGUAACUUCCGUAUCUCUUAGCCCACCAGAGCUUCCGUAUUAACUGAGUUUCUCAGUCUACCCUUGCUGGAUUUUUUACUUUGUAACGCUAUGCGGUCAAUUCCGGAGGAGUUAACGACGCUUAUUUCAGAUCUUGAAGAUUUCCUCUUCGAUGGUCUGAAAGGAGAGAAUUUGAGUAAGAAGGCAAAGGAGAAAAGAGAAGCCUUCAUAAAGCGGAUCAAAGAGGUCAAAUCUGGAUACCCUCAAGAGUUCAACGAGAAACGAGAUGCAGAGGACUCAGAAGAGGAUGAAGUGGAGGACAGCAACAAUGAUGGAUGGUCACUGCAUUCAGAACGCACAGAUAAGGAGGAUGAGACCUGUGAAGGUGCUCAGCAGUCUCUAGCCGUGGCGGCUCAGGACCUCCAGUCUGUCUUCAAGGCCGGACACCUGGAGAAACGCAGGAAGGAUCACAGCUUCUUUGGCACAGAGUGGCAGAAGAGAUGGUGCGCUUUGAGCAACCAGACAUUUUACUACUACGGCAGUGAGAAAGACAAGCAGCAGAAGGGCGAGUUUGCAAUUGAUGGCUACAGUGUCAAGAUGAAUAACACCCUGCGAAAAGAUUCCAAGAAAGAUUGCUGCUUUGAAAUUUCUUCCUCUGACAAGCGAGUAUAUCAGUUCUGUGCGUCAUCUCAGAAAGAGGCAGAGGAAUGGGUGGAGCAGAUAGAUUUUGUGUUGAGAGACAUGUCAGGGGUCAUUCCGUUGGACGAGGAGGAUCAAGAGACGUACGAUGACAUUGGCGCUGUCGAGGCGGAGCCUAUUGACGAUGACAUCUACGAAGAACUCCCAGAGGAGGACAUGUCCACUCCUCCCUUGCCCACACCUCCAAAGCCCAAGGUGGAACCCCCACGCCACACAGCAAACCCACCCCACCCACUACAGCUACAGUGAAUAAGACCACAGACUACCAGAACUACUAUCAGGGGAUAUGGGACUGUACAGGAGAUCAACCAGAUGAACUGUCCUUCAAACGGGGAGACUCCAUCUACAUCCUCAGUAAGGAGUACCAGAACUAUGGUUGGUGGAUUGGGGAGAUGAAGGGCUCUGUUGGCAUCGUUCCUAAAGAGUACCUCAUGGAGUUGUACGCCAUUUAAACCCGCCUGAGGCAUCUAAAUCCAAUCAUCUUCCAUGUGAGAUGCAUGGAAACGGACCGUAUCUGAAGGGGACGCUGAGCUCAGCAGCAAAGCCAACUGUCUGUAGCAAAAUGAAAAAUAUAAACUGCUUUUGUUUAUCAUUUAUUAUCGCUGCAUUUUCCCUUUUGAUACAGAGUCUUUAUAUUGUGAACUGUCUAGACUGAAUCGCUUAUGGAGUCUUUGUAUUGUGAACUGUCUAGAAUCAAUCGCUUAUGGAGUCUUUGUAUUGUGAACUGUCUAGAAUGAAUCGCUUAUGGAGUCUUUGUAUUGUGAACUGUCUAGAAUGAAUCGCUUAUGGAGUCUUUGUAUUGUGAACUGUCUAGAAUGAAUCGCUUAUGGAGUCUUUGUAUUGUGAUCUGUUUAGAAUGAAUCGCUUAUGGAGUCUUUGGCUGAGAAAUACAUGUGUAUAUUAGUGGUCAGGCAUAUUUCAUAAAUACUUGAUACUG